GUGGGGAAUUUUGGACAAUGGGCGAAAGCCUGAUCCAGCCAUGCCGCGUGUGUGAAGAAGGCCUUCGGGUUGUAAAGCACUUUUGUCCGGAACGAAACGGCAAGGGCGAAUAUCCCUUGUUAAUGACGGUACCGGGAGAAUAAGCACCGGCUAACUACGUGCCAGCAGCCGCGGUAAUACGUAGGGUGCAAGCGUUAAUCGGAAUUACUGGGCGUAAAGCGUGCGCAGGCGGUUCCGCAAGUCAGAUGUGAAAUCCCCGGGCUCAACCUGGGAACUGCAUUUGAAACUACGGGGCUAGAGUGUGUCAGAGGGGGGUGGAAUUCCACGUGUAGCAGUGAAAUGCGUAGAGAUGUGGAGGAACACCAAUGGCGAAGGCAGCCCCCUGGGAUGACACUGACGCUCAUGCACGAAAGCGUGGGGAGCAAACAGGAUUAGAAACCCUGGUAGUCC
rnacentral:rRNA from 1 species